GAUGAACGCUGGCGGCGUGCCUAAUACAUGCAAGUAGAACGCUGAAGCUUGGUGCUUGCACCGAGCGGAUGAGUUGCGAACGGGUGAGUAACGCGUAGGUAACCUGCCUCUUAGCGGGGGAUAACUAUUGGAAACGAUAGCUAAUACCGCAUAAAAGUCGAUAUCGCAUGAUAUUGAUUUGAAAGGUGCAAAUGCAUCACUAAGAGAUGGACCUGCGUUGUAUUAGCUAGUUGGUGAGGUAACGGCUCACCGAGGCGACGAUACAUAGCCGACCUGAGAGGGUGAUCGGCCACACUGGGACUGAGACACGGCCCAGACUCCUACGGGAGGCAGCAGUAGGGAAUCUUCGGCAAUGGGGGCAACCCUGACCGAGCAACGCCGCGUGAGUGAAGAAGGUUUUCGGAUCGUAAAGCUCUGUUGUAAGAGAAGAACGAGUGUGAGAGUGGAAAGUUCACACUGUGACGGUAACUUACCAGAAAGGGACGGCUAACUACGUG
rnacentral:rRNA from 1 species